CCUCCACCGGGCUCGCCGGUCCGUCGGACUUUUGGCUGAGAUCCGUGUCAGACUCCUCCGAAUAGUCGUCUGUUGGCAUCGAGGGCUGAACCCCUGAGGUGCUGCAUGAACUUGAGAGCGCGCUCUCGCACGCCAGGCAGUGGUACGAGCCGCCGCCACCACCGCCGCCACCGCUGCCGCCGCCACUGCCGCCGCCACCCGUGGGGACGUGAAGCACCAUCUCUUGCAGGUUCACCACAGACUGGCCGAAGAAGCAGAGGGACUUCAGGGUGAUGGAAGACAUCACUGCUACUGGUACAUCAAGGUGGUGGUAGAAGAGGACAGCAUUGUGAGGAAGGGCGACCAGGUGUGCUGAAUGAGGAGAUGCUGAGAAGAAUUCACAGGCAGUGGACCUCAGAUCAUUACAUUCAGCACACUUCAGAAACUAGACGGUAUUCAUCCCUUUGUUUCAGAGCGUACCACAGGUAAAAUUAAACCCACAGCUCCUCACUAUUUCAUCUGGACCAACCUAGGAUUGGGUGUUCUAUAGCACAACAUGGGCCUUGUAAGAAAAAAACACACGGAAGUGCACACCUGGGUGAAGACGAUGUUGACUUCACAGUAGGGCAGCAUGUAAAAACUCAAAUUUCAGACGAAGAGGACAAGGUUGCCUCAAGCUGUCAAUCCCAGAAAAAGAUCCAUUAAUGUUUGGAAAGCCAAGGAAGAUGCUUCCCUCAGCUUUGUGGAAUAGCAUUAAUCUAUUCUUUCAGAACAGCAGAAAGGGACGACUGAAAUUAAGUCAUCCAGUUUCCUCAAUGCACAGAAGGGACUGAAACCAGAGAGAUAUGUGUGACUCAGAAAAACCCCGUAAAGGUUCACUGGUUAAACUGGCACAAACAAGAUGGAGAGCAAAUGGAUUAUGAAGUCGACAACUUAGGACGCAGCUCUUUCUGUCUACUUACAGGCAACAGGCCUGCUCCAAGUUUUAGGUUGGAGUCAGAGCCAAAAGAUCAGCAAGGCAAUGCAAAAACAGCUAGAGAUUUCCUAUCUCUAUGGCUUCAGGCUUUCAGGAGAAGGAUCCAGGUUAGAAAACCUAAUGUAACUAAUAUAUCUUGAAUAGAAGAGAAAGAAUUUUAAGGAUCAUUUACGGAACGCUUGCUAUAUUUACCAAGCUCUGCUAAAUAUAUUCUCAGAAUAAU